rnacentral:misc_RNA from 1 species
GUAGGUGAACCUGCGGAAGGAUCAUUGCCGAUCGGACGCCACGUUGAACCCUCACGGGCUCUUCGUGGUGUCUUUUUCGACCAACCCAUGUGAACUCGUUUUAUGUGUUUAACAAAACCCCCACAUUCACAAUGUGUGGGUUUUGUCCAAACAUUUUAACAAACCACAUCAUAUUGAACUCUUGACUGAGACAAUACAGGUCACGCCUAAAAACGUUGAUCUCAAAAACCUAACCAUUACAACUUUUAAC